GACUUAGCUAUCUCAUUAUUAUAAGAUAGUAUCUCAUAAUUAUGAGAUAGUAUCUCAUAAUUAUGACUUAGCUAUCUCAUUAUUAUGACUUAGUAUCUCAUAAUUAUGAGAUAGUAUCUCAUAAUAAUGAGAUAAAUUCUGCUGGCCUCCACGGACUUCCGUUUUUGCACUUCCGUAUUUUUCAAACUGCAGCAGCAGCGCAGCACACAACUUCGUUCGCGCUGAGUGGUCAGAAUGGCUAUUUGUACGCGUUUGCUGCUAGACCUCCCAAGAAUAAUGGUUAACGAUGUACACCGAAUCUUUCUUGCCUCGUCCGAAAUGCCAAAAUCUAGUAUGGACAAAGCUUGUAUUGUAUGUGCCCGGCUACAUACACAGCUAUGAAGGUAAGCUAACAAACUUCUGCUGUGAGUUACUAAAGAUGCUACACGCUAGCUCUCCACUAGCCUAAGUUAACACAAUAAGGAAACGUUAUUGGAGCGAUAAGUAAGGUCAUGCGUGUUUUUCGUGUCUGAAAUAAAAAAAAAAAACAGUUUUUAUGUUAUUCUCAGUUUUAAUCAUGCAGUCAGGAGAGGUCACGGUUAGGUCCGAGUGUUUCAGGUCAAUGAGGAAAAACCAGAAGCCCCACCGUCUGAGUGUAGGGAAACGUUUCCCUGCAGGUUCAGUGCAGGAUUGAUUCAGGUUCAAAAGAAGACUGUUCAUGUUUUUAAACGUCACAUUUUUGCGAGUCAUAUCAUUGCUUUUAGUUUGAUAACAGGUUAAUGACAUGCCUGAACUACGUGUGUCAUGUGGUAUCAGAGAUAAAAUGUGUCCCAGAAAGAAUAAAGUAAGUAAAGUUUGUAUAAAUAGCAUGUCACAGAAAGUCAAACAUUAGAUGACUCGCAGAAGCACAACAUUGUUUACAGUUAUUUUAUUUUUGUCCACUACUUGUUCUACUCUUCUAUUUUAAAAUGAGUUAAGUGAAGUUAAUCAUCAAUGUUUGUCUCUCCUUAAAUGCAGUUGUACUCUAACAAAUAUUCUGUGUUGUAACAGAUUGUGCUAAGGGAUUCAAAGCCGGUGGGGGUGCCAGUGUAUGUGUGGCAGGUGCAGCCUUGUGAUGUCAUGUGGCAGCUCAACUCUACCAGACGGCACAUUUCUCCUAGCUGAAACUUACAUCGGUCCCCCCCCCCCCCCCCCCCCCCACACACACACACACACAGUGUUCAGCUGCACAGAAACUGAACAACAGUGGCACAAAACGGGGACCAAGGUAUUAAACCAGGUCCAGUUAAUGACAUGGUCAUCAUAUCAGCCAGACAAAGAGAGAAGAGACCGGUAGAAUGAACAAGGUAUGUUUUUCUUUCUGGACUGCACGCACACACACACAUGCACACACCCCAUUUGACUUUUGUUUUUCUUCCCAAGAAGCAGUUUGUAAAAAGGAGUCAGCUUCCCCGAUGACAGCUUCAUUCUGAAGGUGCAGGAGGCGUACCACAGACUUGGUGCAGAUGAGGCUCCGGUGAUGACAACCAUGGCUGUCUCUGGUGAUGUACCUCUGGUUGGGUCCACGUUUGGUUCGGUGCAGGAGGGAAGCGGGCCAUCUUACCAACUACCAGUGAGGACGGCCCCCAGGACGCGUCCACACAAAGACAACCCUUCUCUCCCACAACUGUCUCUCUCUCAUUAUAGACGGGGACCCUCUGCAUGUGCAUUUGUGUUUACUGAACAUCAUCAUUUCACAUCCCUCACAACAUCAUUGGGGAAAUCAUACAAAGCUGAGAACAGAACACAAUUGCAGAGUUUCUGUGUGGAGGGGCACCAACUAAGGAGAUGCCACAUCACUUCUACAAAAUUUAGAUAAGUGUGUCACACCAGGGCAGAAGGUUCUGCUGAGAACCUUGUGAAACAGCCUAUGUGAACAAGUAGUCAGACUGAUGACAAAUGUUGGGGUCUUGCUUUGGAGCCUACAGCCAUCAAGGAGUACUGCAAGGUAAUAGAGGUAAACCACUACCCUUGUGGGGUCCUGAUCCACCUUGAGGCACCAUGGAUGGGUUCAACACCAGAUGGGAUUAUGUAUGAUCCUGAGGGCAGCCUGAGUGUGGCCUGCUGGAAAUAAAAUGCCUAAAUGUGUGUAGCUUUGUGGAUUAUUAUGCUCAGAAAAGGUUUACUCUCUGUGGCGAUCUCAUCCUCAUUACUGGCAGGUCGGUGUUGACUGUUGAUUUCUCCAUGUGAGUGGUGUGACUUUGUUGUUUACACCACAGAUGACAUGUUUAUUCAGCGAGUUCCCCGUGACAUGGAAGUCAUACAGACACUAUUGUAAUGUUUUCAUUGCUGUUUAAAUGUAAAGACUUACUGUGGGGGAAAUUCAAUGUAAAUCUGCAGUAAAAUUAAAUAGUUCUGCACUUU